rnacentral:lncRNA from 1 species
UGUACAGACUGCAGUGAAGCUUCUGUGAUCCUGAGUCCUGACAUUUAGGUUAACUUAGAUAGACCAUAUAACUUGUCCGGUUUAAAAGGAAACUCCCAAAAUUUUACAUUUGACUUUGAAAAUGAAGUAGAAAACAAUUUUGGAGUAUUGUAAUAAAUGAUGUUGUAAUUUGACUUAUGAAUCAGUCGAAUUAUGCACCAUAUUAACUCUAAUCGGACACUAAAUUAUGCACCAUAUUAACUCCAAUAUGACACUAAAAC